UACGUAGGGUGCAAGCGUUGUCCGGAAUUAUUGGGCGUAAAGAGCUCGUAGGCGGUCUGUCACGUCGGCUGUGAAAACCUGCAGCUUAACUGUGGGCGUGCGGUCGAUACGGGCAUCACUGGAGUUCGGCAGGGGAGACUGGAAUUCCUGGUGUAGCGGUGAUAUGCGCAGAUAUCAGGAGGAACACCGGUGGCGAAGGCGGGUCUCUGGGCAGUAACUGACGCUGAGGAGCGAAAGCGUGGGGAGCGAACAGG
rnacentral:rRNA from 1 species